rnacentral:rRNA from 1 species
GGGCCUGUAUGAAUGGUAGUACGAGGGUUUAACUGUCUCUUCUUUCCAGUCAGUGAAACUGAUCUCUCCGUGCAGAAGCGGACAUUUUUAUACAAGACGAGAAGACCCUAUGGAGCUUUAGACACUAGCCAACUGCCAUCAACGACUCCUCUGAUGAAGCUUCCCAGUGCCGGCGGUUUUGGCAAUGUUGUCUUAGGUUGGGGCGACCGCGGGAGAAAGCAAAGCUCCCGAGCAGACAGGGUUAACCCUGAAACCAAGAGCAACAGCUCUAAGUCGCAAAAUUUUUGACUGUUUGAUCCGGCGUAGAGCCGAUUAACGAACCAAGUUACCCUAGGGAUAACAGCGCAAUCCUCUCCCAGAGUCCAUAUCGAUGAGAGGGUUUACGACCUCGAUGUUGGAUCAGGACAUCCUAAUGGUGCAGCCGCUAUUAAGGGUUUGUUUGUUCAACAAUUAAAGUCCUACAUGAUCUGAGU